UACGUAGGGUGCGAGCGUUGUCCGGAAUUAUUGGGCGUAAAGAGCUCGUAGGCGGUUUGUCGCGUCGGCCGUGAAAACUUGGGGCUUAACCCCGAGCCUGCGGUCGAUACGGGCAGACUUGAGUUCGGCAGGGGAGACUGGAAUUCCUGGUGUAGCGGUGAAAUGCGCAGAUAUCAGGAAGAACACCUAUGGCGAAGGCAGCUCUCUGGGACGGUACUGACGCUGAGACGCGAAAGUGUGGGGAGCGAACAGG
rnacentral:rRNA from 1 species